GGAGUAAAAGUCGUAACAAGGUUUCCGUAGGUGAACCUGCGGAAGGAUCAUUAAUGAGUUGUCAUGGGGUUCGAUGCUGGCAGCCAAUUUUUGGAUGCAUGUGCUUGCCCUAACAAUCAUCUUCCAAACACCUGUGCACAUUUUUGAGGGAGUCUUGAGUUGGUUGCCGCUCUUGGGUGAUUUUCUCACAUUCCCUUAAAUCAUUAUACGCUAUUAACAAUGUUGAACGUGCUCUGUGCCGCAAGGCUAUUAAUAUAAUACAACUUUCAACAACGGAUCUCUUGGCUCUC
rnacentral:misc_RNA from 1 species